rnacentral:rRNA from 1 species
GCCUAACACAUGCAAGUCGAACGAGCGAGAGAGAGCUUGCUUUCUCGAGCGAGUGGCGAACGGGUGAGUAACGCGUGAGGAACCUGCCUCAAAGAGGGGGACAACAGUUGGAAACGACUGCUAAUACCGCAUAAGCCCACGGUGCCGCAUGGCACAGAGGGAAAAGGAGCAAUCCGCUUUGAGAUGGCCUCGCGUCCGAUUAGCUAGUUGGUGAGGUAACGGCCCACCAAGGCAACGAUCGGUAGCCGGACUGAGAGGUUGAACGGCCACAUUGGGACUGAGACACGGCCCAGACUCCUACGGGAGGCAGCAGUGGGGAAUAUUGCACAAUGGGGGAAACCCUGAUGCAGCGACGCCGCGUGGAGGAAGAAGGUCUUCGGAUUGUAAACUCCUGUUGUUGGGGAAGAUAAUGACGGUACCCAACAAGGAAGUGACGGCUAACUACGUGCCAGCAGCCGCGAUAAAACGUAGGUCACAAGCGUUGUCCGGAAUUACUGGGUGUAAAGGGAGCGCAGGCGGGAAGGCAAGUUGGAAGUGAAAUCCAUGGGCUCAACCCAUGAACUGCUUUCAAAACUGUUUUUCUUGAGUAGUGCAGAGGUAGGCGGAAUUCCCGGUGUAGCGGUGGAAUGCGUAGAUAUCGGGAGGAACACCAGUGGCGAAGGCGGCCUACUGGGCACCAACUGACGCUGAGGCU